rnacentral:rRNA from 1 species
CUGAUCUGUCAGCUUAAUUGCGUUAACGAACGAGACCUUUAAUUAUUAAUUAGUUAAAUAUAUUUUUUAUAUACUUUAUUUUCUUUUUCUUCAUUUGAGAAAGAAAACAUGACUUCUUAAAAUAACAAUUGGUGAUUAACCAAAGUAAGUUAAAGGCAAUAACAGGUCUGUGAUGCCCUUUAGAUGUUCUGGGCUGCACGCGCGUUACACUGAAAAUAUCAAUAAGUUUUUAUAUAUCCAAACAAUAAAAUCUUUUUUUCUUGUUUUGUAUAUGUCCUUGAUUGAAAAAUUUGGGUAAACUUGAUAACUAUUUUCGUGAUGGGGAUUGAUAAUUGUAAUAUUAUCAUGAACGAGGAAUACCUAGUAAACGCAAGUCAUUAACUUGCAUUGAUUACGUCCCUGCCCUUUGUACACACCGCCCGUCGCUCUACCGAUGAAAAGUCCGAUGAAAUAUUGGGAGAUCGUGGGCACCCAGUGCACAUAUCAAACA